AAAUCUUAUUGGAAAGCAUUUAAUGAAUAUCUUGGUAAAAUUUUUGGACGUUACGUAACGAAAAUUGUAAGUAAGUUUUGACUUUUUAUCUACAAGUUUCCAAUUUUGAAAGAAUAAAUUCAAAUAAAUAAAACAUUGUGAACUGAAUCAUCUUAGUAACUUAGUUAAGUAAAUCAAAUGAGAAGUCGUAAGUAAUGGUGAAUCAAAACGAUUUAGGCUUAAAUUAAUAUAUUAUAUUUAUAAACCCAAAGAAAGUUAAAGUCUUUUAAUAAAUAUAUUAAAAAAUUUAAUUUGAAGUAAUACGGUUUUUUAUAUUGUAUGAAUAUAGGAGAACCACCUUCUAAGCUUAAAUAAAAAUUUAACCGAUAGUGAAUGAGUACCGUGAGGAAAAGUUGAAAAAAACCGUUUAGGUAUAUAUUGCAAUUGAAUGUUUAUAAAUUUUCGAAGUUUUUUACAACGGAUUGCCUUUUGUAUAAUGAGUCAGUAAGUUAAAAUGUAUUGCAAGUUUAAAUUUAAAAUAAAGACAUUUUUAAGUAAUAUGUUUUAAACCUGAAACCAAGUGAUCUAAUUGCAAACAAGUUGAAAAUUCUUUAAACAGUUUUUGAGGACUGAACUCACAUAUGUAGCAAUAUAUGGAGAUGAUUUGUAGUUAGGGGUGAAAGGCCAAUCAAACUUGGAAAUAGCCGGUUUUUCACGAAAAGUAUUUUAGUACUACGUUAGAUUAAAUUAAUUUUAAGUAGAGUUACAAAUUAAAUAAAGGGAUUUAAUCGUUUACUAAGUUUAUUUUAACUUCGAAGUAUAAUUAAAUAAAUCUAACAGUCAGUCUUAUGGCGAUAAGGUCUUAAGACAAAAGGAAAACAAUCCAGAUCGAAUAUUAAGAUUUUUAAAUUACAAUUUAGAAUAAGAUUAAUUACAAUUUCAAAUUUAAUUAGGGUAGGCUUAGAAGCAGCCAUUCUUUAGUAAAAGCGUUUUAGCUUGUUAUUAUUUUUUUUAAUUAAUCAAAAAUUUCAGAAAAUUAAAUUGUAUAUCGAAAUAACGAAUUAAACAAUGGUAGUGAAACAUUCUGUUAUUUUUUAUUUAAUUGUUAAAUAAACAAAAUUAAUCAGAAGUGCUAAUGCUGACAUGAGUAGCGUAAAUUAUGUAAAAAAAUCAUAAUCAUUUUGUCAAGGGUUUCAAUGUAAAUUUAAUUUUAUUGAGUGAGUCGGUCCUUAAAAAUUAAACGAUUGUUAAAUUUGAUAGGAAAUUUUUUAUACUAUUUAUAUGUAAUAUUUUUUUUAAAAUAUUAUUAAAAAAUCAAAUUAUUAAAUUUUAAUUAGUUUAAUAGGUUAAAUUAAUUUAAUAAAGUGGUUUCGAGAAAAAAUUAUAAUAAAUUAUAACCGUACUUAAACCGACACUGGUGACUUUAGUGAAUAACUUAAAAUGAUUGAAUAAAUUAUGUUGAAGGAACUCGGCAAAAUAACUCUGUACGUUCGCAAUAAAGAGAUCCUUUUUAAGUAGGAAUAAAAAAAAAGCAACGACUGGUUACCAAAACCACAGGACUCUGCUAAUUAGUAAUAAGCUGUAUAGAGUCUGACGUCUGCCCAGUGCUUAAAAAUAAGUUAAUUUUAGUUAUAGCUAAAUUAUAAAUUUAAGUAAACGGCGGUUCUAACUAUAAGGAUCCUUAGGUAGCGAAAUUCCUUGGCGGGUAAAUUCCGUCCUGCAUGAAUGACGUCACGAUUGCUUUACUGUCUCCAACAUAAAUUCAGCGAAAUUACAAAACUCAUGAAAAUGUGAGUUACUUACAGUAAGACGGAAAGACCCUAGAUCCUUUACUUAAUUUUUAUAUUGAAUUCGAAUUAUUUUUACAUAGCAUAAGAGGGAGUAUAAAACUUUAUUGAAAUACCACUUAAAAAUAAUUUAUUUUCUAAAUUUACAAAAGUUAGUAAAGACCGUAUAAAAAAGAAAGUUUACUUGGGACGAGUACCUCCCAAAGUGUAACGGAGGUGUACAAAAGUUAGUAUCAAUUAUUUUUUUAAAAUAAUGAAGCGUAUAAUAGCAUAAACUUACUUAACAAUUAAAUUUAUAAAUUAAAUUGGGAUAAACGUCAGUUAUAGUGACCCGGUGUUAAAGUGUGGAAUUUAGUAUCGUUUAACAAUUAAAAGGAACUCUAGGGAUAACAGAUUCAUCGUGAUUAAAAGUUCAUAUUGAAAUCACGGUUUGAUACCUCGAUGUCGACUCAUCUUAUCCUGGAAUAGUAGUUUAUUCCAAGGGUCUAGUUGUUCGCUAGUUAAAAAGGUACGUGAGUUGGGUUCAGAACGUCGUGAGACAGUUCGGUCCCUAUCUACUGUAAGUAUUUGAAAAAUUAAAAGAAUAUUUUUAGUACGAGAGGACUGAAAUAUGUUAACCACUGGUGUAAUAAUUACUAAACCGUUAGUAAUGUUAUGUAGCUAUGUUAAUAAUGUUUAAAUACUGAAAGAAUCAAAAGUAUUAAAACAUCUUUUUAUUUUUUUCAUGAAUAUUCUAAACGAUAAUUAGAAAAUUAGGUUUAAAUAAAAAAUUAGUAAUAAUCAUUUUUUAAUAAAUCCUAAAUAUUCAUUUAGAUU
rnacentral:rRNA from 1 species